rnacentral:rRNA from 1 species
GUCCUUUUGAAGUUUAUUUAAGGUCUGACCUGCCCACUGAUUUUUUGAAGGGCCGCAGUAAUUUGACUGUGCAAAGGUAGCAUAAUCAUUAGUUUUUUAAUUAAAAGCUUGUAUGAAGGGUUGGACGAGGUAAAAUCUGUCUCUAUUUAAAUUAUUGUAGAAUUUAAUUUUUAAGUUAAAAAGCUUAAAUUUUUUUAAAAGACGAGAAGACCCUAUAGAUCUUUAUAUAAAUUUUAAUAAUUUUAAUUAAGAAUAUUUUAUUUAUUAUUAAAUUUUAUAUUUUAUUGGGGUAAUAAAAAGAUUUAAAAAAUUCUUUUUUUAUUUAAACAUUGAUUUAUGAUUAAUUGAUCCAAUUAUUUUGAUUAAAAGAUUAAGUUACCUUAGGGAUAACAGCGUAAUUUUUUUAGAGAGUUCAUAUCGAUAAAAAAGUUUGCGACCUCGAUGUUGGAUUAAAAAUUAUCUUAGGUGCAGAAGUUUAAGAUUUUGGUCUGUUCGACCAUUAAAUUUUUACA